ACGAAGAUUUUAAUUCUUCCUUAUCUGCCCCAGUCAGCAGAGCUCAUUAUGAUCUUUCUCUCCCAAGAAAGAAAGGCAUAAUAUAUUUUGGAGCUCUAUAUAUAGGUGCUGAAAGCAUUGCGGCAUGGCAACUCACGGUCAGAGCGCGUCGCCAAUCCGGGAAGAUGCGACCCGACCGUCGCCGCCUGCUUGCUCGGCUUCUCGCCCUCCUCGCGCUGCUGCUGUUGAUCGUCGGUGUGCGUGGCCGUAUAGGAGGGGGCUGCGGUAGUCAGAACCCAAACGGCUGCACAGGUCUGCCCUCUCCAGAGUGUCCAGGCUGUGGAUAGCAGCAGGUCUCACUGCGAAGCAUAUGCCCACGCCGAUGGCAUCUCAGGAUGUUCUGUAUCGUUCUACAAGAGUUGAUUUUGUUUCUGUAUGGUAAGAGAGAUAUGAAGGUCACGAUCAUUUCCUUACUUACGGAAUGUUAAGGAAAACAAGGAUAACUGAAUAUAAGACACAAUUCAUUGA